CUUCAAGCUUCAUCAAUGCCUUUAGACGCUUCAUUGCUAUCCGUGGCCCAGUAAAACACAUCCGGUCCGACAGAGGUACCAACUUCAUUGGAGCAGCCAAAGAAUUACAAAUUAAUUCGAACAUUGACACUAAAAGCAUAGAGAGAUAUCUCAGUGAGCAAGGUUGUACAUGGACCUUCAACCCGCCUCAUUCUUCUCAUAUGGGAGGUGCCUGGGAAAGGAUGAUCGGCAUGAUACGCAGAAUCCUUGAUUCCAUAUUCUUGCAAGUGGGAACUGCAAGACUUACUCACGAGAGUUUAACAACCUUCAUGGCUGAAGUCUCAGCUAUUGUCAACGGAAGACCAUUGACUUCAGUGUCUAAUGACCCAGAAGACCCACUUCUACUUACUCCGGCCACUCUUCUUACACAGAAGACCGGGAUUACCUAUGCUCCUCCUGGAGAAUUCAAUACCAAAGACCUGUUCAAACGUCAAUGGAGACAAGUUCAAAGCCUUGCAAACACCUUUUGGGACAGAUGGAAAAGACAAUACCUUUCUACCCUGCAGUCAAGGAGCAAGUGGCAAGUUGCCAAACCCAACUUAAAACCAGGUGACAUUGUGCUCGUCAGAGAUUGCCAGUCACAACGCAACGAAUGGCCUUUAAGUCUUGUCACCAAGACGUUCCCAAGCAAGGAUGGGAAGGUUCGUAAGGUUGAGGUCAAGAUCUGUAAGCGAGGAGAGACUAAGUUGUUCCUCAGACCAGUGACUGAACUAUUCUUAUUGUUAUCUGUUUAGAGUUUAAAAUAUGGUACCAGUGAUACCAGACGGGGAGUGUCAUGCCUUCAGCAUUUGCUUUGUGUAGAUCUGAUUACUUUUACUACAGAAAGUUGUAUUAUUGCCCCAUCUGGUGGUCAGUCCCAUCAAUUAAUUUGACCCUCAUAGCCUCUUGUAGCCAGUCUUGCAAUGCAUUCUGGGAUGAAGAAGCUGGGAUCAGCCUUUCUACUUCCCUCAUGGUCCCAGACAGUCAUGCUUUACAUGGGUCCAACUCUCAUAUAGCAUUCGAUGUUUUACCUCAUUAUCACACAUCAUCAUAUCGUAUUGUACAUCAAAUCAACGCAUCAUAUCUGUGAUCCCUUUACUGAAUAAUAAAACACCGUUCUACAAACA